ensembl:snoRNA Gm25725 small nucleolar RNA SNORA17
UCAUCCCCUAGGGACAUUGCAGGUGUGGCUACUGUGCCAUGUGUGCGUCUGUAGAUGGCAGAACAGGGAGAGGGUACAUUUGCUCAGUGUUCUGACCUGUGAACAUCUAAACAGUUCAUAGCCUGACGGU